rnacentral:pre_miRNA from 1 species
GGCCGAAAUCUGAAGUAAGGUAGAUUGGUAAGGUCAGCUGAUCCUACUGUUCUACUAAACUUCGAAAAUGGGCCC